rnacentral:tRNA from 1 species
GGAGGGAUCGCAUAGUGGUCUAGUGCGGGCGCCUGCUAAGCGCUUGGGGGCCUAACCGCCCCUCCAGGGUUCGAAUCCCUGUCCCUCCGCCA